AUGGGGAAGGGUAACCAGUGGUCUUGUGUAGCUGCUCUGUUAUUUCUUAUAGACCUUACCAGACUAACUGGUAAUAAUAAUUACUUUAUGAUUUAUAAUUGUUGUUAUCUUUUUACAGAGAACUAUUCUGAGAGCCCAGUGCUUAUCAGUCUCCCUCCAUUCACAACUCAGGUAUAUUUCUCUCUAUGUUGGUUUAAAUCAGUGCUUCCAGACGUAAUGUCUAUCAGAGCCGAACAGAGAGAAGGUUUGAAAUGUUUUGCUUCCUCUUUACUGUAUGUAUGUACCUGUAAAUAUUGUAUGACCUCAUCCCAGCUCACCUAUGUACCCUGUUAUGUGAUUCUGAGAUUGUUUUGUCCCUCCACUCUCCUCUCCCUCCGACACACGUUUCACCCCAUCUCCACCUCUCCACCUUCUCUUAUUAUUUUUUUAAUUGGUAUUUUGAGAUGUGCUAUCUCUACUGCUUCUAUUACAAAACCCCAAAAUGAAACAACCCCCACCAUAAACGUUAAAGUUCCAUCUUCCCUAAAGGUGGAUUACAAACGUCUCCCGAGGAUAGGAAAUGGACAGAAAGACUGUCCGACAUUACGUAUGAUGUUUUGGGGGGGAAGUAGGAACUGUGUAUUUAAAAAGGAUUGUCAUCAAAGGAAGAACCAUGAAAUGGAGGACAGUUUGAGGAAGAAAGAAAAAUACUAAAUGAGAGGAGGAAGGCAGCUGAUCACUUCUCAGUUGUUGAGUUUCUAAAAUUACCCUUUCUGUCCAAGAAGAGGAACAACCUUAGGACACAAUUCACCCAGAGCUCCCUACUGGAUUCACUGUAGGCUGAAGGGAUACGUAACCGGAGAGAGAGAGAGAGAGAGAGAGAGAGAGAGAAAGAAAAAAGGAGAGAGAGAGAGCGAAAGAAAGAAAGAGAGAACUGAAGGUGAUGAUGAGCGGAUGAUAGAUAGAAGACAAAGAGAGUCAAAAAGAUUUGUUCAUCCCUCCACACCAGAAGCAUCCUUCUUUCCUGUGGACUCCUCAGUCAGCACCAUCCCUUAGAAAACAAAACUCCAGACCAACUCGUUCCUGUGGACUCCUCAGUCAGCACCAUCCCUCAGAAAACAAAACUCCAGACCAACUCGUUCCUGUGGACUCCUCAGUCAGCACCAUCCCUCAGAAAACAAAACUCCAGACCAACUCGUUCCUGUGGACUGCUCAGUCAGCACCAUCCCUUAGAACACAAAACUCCAGACCAACGUGACAGACUUACAGUGACUCUGAGUACCUGGAAAAGCAUCACACUGAAACACAUACCUUAUGUCAGCAUACUUUACAGAGUCUUAUUAUACUAAGUCAUUGACAUUGAAAUCCCAGACAAAUAAUAAAAGAAACAAACAAUAGAACAGAAUGCCCCUAGGAAAGAGCCAAAGGGUUAUGGGAUAGUAGGACAGUGUUCCACAACUUGGUUGUCAUCCUACUGUGUCAUAGACCAUGUAUGCUUUUAACCACUGUCAAAUCUUCCCAAAAACAAAUUACAUCUUACCGGCUCUCAGAUACAGUAUAUUAAAUUGUUUUUAAAUCUUCCUAUUUAGUACUUCAAAGACGUCAAAGACGUACAGUAGGGUAGGCUAUAAACAAGCUACUGCAGUGGCCUGAGAUGACUCAACAUAGUCAGCGUGGAUGUGACUACAGAAAAGGAGAGCCAGGUGCUAGCCAACGGCCAAAUACAUUUACAUCACAGUAAUUGUACUGUUUUACAGCCAAACACUAUGCAAAGCUAUGAGGCUGAACAACCAUUGCAUCCAGUGACUCUUGAGUCAGCCCGCUAUGGUGACACUACCUUCUUAUGUUCAGUCAGUCACACCUGUUUGACUGUUUUCAUCGAUUUAUACAGCCCUCCUCUUACCUCUCACACGAGACACACUUCAGAAGAUACUGAAUUAUGGGCCCCAAUUGUAGCGCAACCAGGCAUAUAGUAUACCAGGCCAUUGGCCAUUUCAUAUAAACCUGUGCUUAGAUCUGAAAUACGAUACACUCCCUGACUGACUGAUGCUGACGUGUUCCAUGAGAGUGUGUCGGCUGACCCUAACAGAUCUACUCAUCGACCACUUUGAAGGAUUUGGACCUAAAGAAAACCAGUGUGCGCGUGUGAGAGUGUGUGUGCUGAAGAGUUGAGGAGGACGCAAAAGGAGAGAGACACUGGAAGCAUCCGCAACGCGCAUGCCAAGAACGGGAAGCGACUGCUGGAAAACAAGGACAUACAUUGCGCUCACCUUCUCGCUCUCAAUCUCCCCCUCUCUUUAUCUACACCCCUCUGCAUCUCAGCAUUGCUCCUCUUCCGUAGCAAACUGCAUGGCAUGAUCGAAAAAAAAACCUGAAGAACGAAACGUAGAGAACAAAAGGAUGGAGAGAGAGACCAGAGAGACUUUAUUUUUUAAAACCAAACAAUCAAAACAAUCAUUGUCACAUCAACCUUUUUCAAAAAUAUCCAAUUGGUAACUAUUUGCAAGUGUCAAGAUAACAAAUGGUCAACUGCUCGCGGAGAGAGUGGCUACUGUAAAGGUCGCUCUCCUUUCUGUAGAAAGAGCACUGCACCUCUGGGGGGGAUCAGAAAGAUUCGUAAGGAAGUGCGAGAAAAUAGCGGGAACAGGGUGAACUUUGAUAAACAAUUCCGGGGAAAAAAAGUGAAAAUGCAUUUUUAUUCCUUUGUUUACCAGCAUGACUAUUCUGCAUGAGUCUACUUCUGCAAGCCCUCACCCCACCCCCUCCGUAAAAAAAGAGGGCUAGGAAUUGAAAAAAUGAACAAAAUCGAGAGGAAACAAAAAAUAUUUAUGUUAUAUGCAACUAAUAAAAAAAAAGAAAAAGAGCAGGAUUAUAUUAAAAAAAAUAUCUAUAUUUUGUUUUGGGAUAAUAAAAAAGGAAUAACGAAAAAAAUAUCUAGGAUUGCAAGAUACACAUUGAACAAUGUUUUCUUAGAUAAAUAAGAUACAAACACCACCAAAUCUACCAGAGAUGAACUAUGCGAUGAACUUCCCCUGAUACUACAACUACUCUACUACUACUUUGAUGACUACUCUUCUUGUGCUCUGCUACUUCUUUUUCUACUGCUCUCACUCUCUGGUCCUACCGCCCUGAUUGUGUCCCCUGCUGCCAAUUCUCUGUCUUCCACCCCACUGUCCAUCCAGGUCCCCUCUUCACUGUCUGUCUGUAUAACUAUGUUUAGUUGGACUGUACUCAGAUCCGAUGGGUCAUAUUCACUAGGAUCCAAACGGAAGCAAACUGCCCGGAACGGGAGGGACUAUCCCUGAACUUGUCUAACACGUUUUCCACUGCAAAGCUGUUUGCUACGGUGUGCACUAAUGAAUACGACCAUGAUGGACUCUGUUGUUGUUCUUUCAGUCUCGUGCUCAAGGUGGGAGAUGGCAGCUUCACCACCGGGACGCGGUUGUAGACUCUAUAAGGUCUCGGCUAACUAAUGCAGUGUAGCGAUACCUAGCGGAGAUCAGACCUCACACCGUCCCCAGGCUAAUUGCCUACAGAGCAAUGGGAGAAAGUAUCUGAUCAAAUGAACGAGAUUCGCGAUGACCUAAUACAAUAAAUUACAUCGAUUGGAUCGUGUAGCCCAAUAACACUGUAGCUAGCUAUCACCUGUAGCACUGCACUGACUGGCCAGAUAGUGUCAUAUUAGCUCAGCCCUGAUAUUGUAGCUGUACGAUGCAUAGCUUUGUACUGCUAUGACAUAAUGUACUGUAGGCCUAUUUCCAUGAUUAUAGGGAUGUGCAUAACGUGUCAUUGUGGCAUUUAACAUAAUCCCCCUCUACAGCCCUUGGGACGUCAACAGUGUUUGUUUUACACAUACUGGUGCCCCCUGCAUUGGUGAAGCAGCCAUCUUUGCUCCAUUUCCUCAGGUGGGGAUAGCAUAUUUCCAGGAAAACUGCUGUUCAAAUAUGCAUGAAGGGAAUGCCGAACGGUCUAUCUAUGCUAUCAUAUUGAGCUUAUCUAGAUGAAUUGUUGUUGUUUCUGUUGAUGAACAAAAGCUCAUGUUGACCUUCCACCUCCACUGCCUGUUUUGCAGUAUGGCUGGAUGCAUCACACCAGGCACCUCACCGCAUGCUAAACAACAGAUUGUGGGGUUUUAUUUCCCCCUGUUUUUCCAUGUUUAUUUUCAAGUGAAAACUAAUGUUGCUAUGUUCAGUUUCUAGGCCUGUAUGUAUAGGUCAUAUCUCGCCAGUCACCGCAAACCCUAGCUAGGCCUACAUCAGAGUUUGGAUAAUAUGCUGCUGAUGUAGCCUACUCGUUGUCGCCCUCUACUGGGCUCCAGUGCGUUGCGGGGGAUGUAGUUUAUCCCCAGUGAAGUGUCAUCAUCUGAGCCGUGGUUCGUCUCUGGUGACACUCUGGUCUAGCCGAGUGCCAGCAGAGCAGGGUUCAUCUCAAGGGUGGUAUUUAAUGUUACAAUGGAGGAGGCGUGUUAAUUAUGUUUGUGGUCACAUUCAUUGACCGUGUCAAAUACAAAUUGGGUCACAUUCAUUUGCAUAUUGCUAGUUUAUAUUUUUGUCUCAAAUGAGUGUUAACUUGUGUUCACUUGCCAAAACUGUUGCUUUGUUUCUGUUUGUUUAUUUGUUAUUACACAAUGAUGAAGAUUUUGAUGAUGUUCCAGAGAUGCUGGGGGCUAACUGUACUGAGAACUGAGCAACUACCUAUGCAAGAGUUUGACUGUAGCAUAUGAUUAUACUUCAGUGUUUCAUUGUGCCAAAGGAGUUCAGUGUGUUAGGUCUGUCUGUUAUGUGGGAGGGCAAGAAUGGGGCAGGGUAAUGGUGGAAAAAAAGGGGCAGCUACUAUAUCUAGCAUGGUACAUUGUUUACUGAAGUGUGUGGGGGUUAAAGUAAUUAGAAUAUCGGGGUCAGGGGUCUCCCCUGGGUCUACCCUGGAGUUUGCCAUUCAGGAUAUGUCCCUGUACUCGCAGUUUUCAUUUGAUACACUGGAUCUCUGUCAUUCAUCACCUUAUGUCUGAUUCCUCCCCACUUUCCUUCUCCUCGACCCCCAUCCCUUUCAUAUUCAUUCCCUCUCUCCCUCUUUCAACUCCCACCUACUCCUUCUUUCACUCUCUCCCUUUCCAAAAAAGUGUAUUAUGGCACUAUGUUUGUUACCAAAAAAAUGACUUGAAAUGAUAGAGACAUAAGUAAUCAUAGAUUAUGGAAGGAUGCAUCACUACUAGACAUUUCAUUCUGAAGAUGGAAAUUAUUGUUUGUGGGAUAGAGAAGGAGAGGGAUCGGGUGCAAGGUGGAUGGGAAGAAGAGGGGAUGGGCACAACUGGCUUAGGUACAGCUAAAGACAGAGGUGAAUGGAUCAUACCCCCCCC
rnacentral:lncRNA from 13 species